CCUACGGGGGGCUGCAGUAAGGAAUAUUGGACAAUGGGCGCAAGCCUGAUCCAGCCAUGCCGCGUGAAGGAUGAAGGCGCUCAGCGUUGUAAACUUCUUUUGGACGGGAACAAUAACUCCGACUUGUCGGAGCUUGAGGGUACCGUCAGAAUAAGCACCGGCUAACUCCGUGCCAGCAGCCGCGGUAAUACGGAGGGUGCAAGCGUUAUCCGGAAUCACUGGGUUUAAAGGGUGCGUAGGCGGUCUUGUAAGUCAGUCGUGAAAUCGCUGGGCUCAACCCAUGCAAUUGCGAUUGAUACUGCGAGACUUGAAUGGGGUUUAGGCAGGCGGAAUGUGGCAUGUAGCGGUGAAAUGCAUAGAUAUGCCAUAGAACACCGAUUGCGAAGGCAGCCUUCUGGGCCUUUAUUGACGCUGAGGCACGAAAGCGUGGGGAGCAAACAGGAUUAGAUACCCCGGUAGUC
rnacentral:rRNA from 1 species